rnacentral:rRNA from 1 species
GACGAACGCUGGCGGCGUGCUUAACACAUGCAAGUCGAACGGGUCUGCCCUGUUUUUUGCGGGGUGGGUCAGUGGCGAACGGGUGAGUAACACGUGAGUAACCUGCCCCUCACUUCUGGAUAACCGCUUGAAAGGGUGGCUAAUACGGGGUGUUCUGGCUGUGCCGCAUGGUGUGGCUGGGAAAGAUUCACUUUUGUGGUGUUUUGGUGGGGGAUGGGCUCGCGGCCUAUCAGCUUGUUGGUGGGGUGAUGGCCUGCCAAGGCUUUGACGGGUAGCCGGCCUGAGAGGGUGGGCGGUCACACUGGGACUGAGAUACGGCCCAGACUCCGGCGGGAGGCAGCAGUGGGGGGUAUUGCACAAUGGGCGGAAGCCUGAUGCAGCGACGUCGCGUGAGGGAUGGAGGCCUUCAGGUUGUGAACCUCUUUCGCCGGUGAAGAAGGUCCUGCUCUUUGUGGUGGGGUUGACGGUAGCCGGGUUAUGAAGCGCCGGCUAACUACGUG